UGGGUAACCUGCCUCAAAGAGGGGAAUAGCCUCCCGAAAGGGAGAUUAAUACCGCAUAAUAUGUUUAAGUCGCAUGACUUUAACAUCAAAGGAUUUUCUUUUAGAAAUUCCACUUUGAGAUGGACCCGCGGCGCAUUAGCUAGUUGGUGAGGUAACGGCUCACCAAGGCAACGAUGCGUAGCCGACCUGAGAGGGUGAUCGGCCACAUUGGAACUGAGACACGGUCCAGCUCCGUAGGG
rnacentral:rRNA from 1 species